ACUACACAAAGACGACGAGGGAUGAAAUGUAACUUGUGAUGAUGAGCCAUGUAUCAACUAUCGACCCUUUGAUUUGGCGCUUUUAUGAAUACAAUAUACAGCAAACCUCGAUUUAGAUCACAAUUAAUGUAUAUAAAUACUUUGUAUUUACUGAGGCUUUCAGGAAGCAAAUAAACCUGCAAUAAAACUAGAUGGGAUUUCUUCUUUCUCCUUAUGGUUUCUUAGCACAGUGAAUAUAAAUAAAAGAAUUCAGUAUUGAGUUGAGUUUUUAUUGAAUACUGAAUCAAUAAUUGUUAGUUAAGAGAAAUAAAAAAAUAAAAAUUUAAAUAAAUCUUAAUUAUUGAUUCAGUGCUAAAAAAAAAAAAAAAACUCAGCAUUAAAUCUUAAUCCAAAACGGAAUCAAGUAACAUGGCAUAUAACAAAAUUAUGCAAACUGAUAUAAGAAAUGAUCAAAUAAGAAUUUUCAUUUUUAUACCAUUCUAAUAUGUUUUAUUUAUGUGUGGGACGUACAUUUCCGAUUCCGAGGCAUUUAACUCCACAAUCCGCUGCCGAUACCAUGAACUGAAUCUAAAACAAAUGGUAAAUUUGUGGACUUAUUCGUUACAUUCGCAAACAACAGGGACUGAUUUGAUAUUUCACCUCACAGAGUCGCCGCAAAUGCGGUUGAAUUUUUUUGAGCAUGCUCUCGGCUUCCCGCGACAAUAAAUUGGUAAUGAAAAUUUUCAUGACUCAAUUGAGUUAUUUAAUGAUGUGAUAUUUUAUGUGUCAUAAUUAUAUGUAUUGUAAAAAUAAUAAGUUAAUAAUUAUUAAUAAAAUCAGUUAAUAUUAAACACAUAAUAUUAAAUUAUUGGUAACAGAUCAGUGUGUAUCUCAAUUAGAUAUUUGAAUUUAGCAAAAAUAGCAUUAUCGUUAAUGUAUUCAAUCAACACCAUUUAAUCAUGCAUACUAACAUAUGUUCAAUUGAAAACACAAGACUGUGUAAAAAUAAUUAGCAUUCGAAAAACUAGCUUAACGACCAACGUAUCGAAAGAUAAAAUGGUAUAGAAAGAUUGAGAUGACAGAAAUAUCGCCGGCACGAUAGGGUCAACUUCACCUCAAUCAUUAAAAUGAUCCUAAAAAAUAUAGUGAUAUAAUUACUAACCUUUCAUAAUCAAAGGUUACCUAAGCUUAUUGGACAUCAACUUAAGUUUCAUUAAAUUAAUGGUGUGUUUACUACUAAUUGAGAAUGAGAGUGGAAAUUAAGAAAUGAGAAUAAAUGAUAUAUUUACUUACUUAAAUGAUAUAUGGAAUGAGAAACAAAUUGGCUGACCCCACCUAAAAUUAAAAAUGAUUACUAGAGUUUUCAUUCUUAUAGAUAGAGGUAGGAAUGAGAAUCAUAUUUCUUAAACUGACUAUAUUACCCCAUUUAAAUCUUGAAAUUUUCAUUUUAUCCUUCAUUAUAUCAUCAUCAUCAUAAGAAUAAAAAAAAAUUAUUAAUAUUAAUUAUAAUUAUUAAUCAUUAUAAUUAAUAUUUAUUACUACUCCUACUAGUCUACUACUAGGAAUACAAUGAUUAUAAAUAAUAAGAAAUAUUAUAAUUAUUAUUAACAAUAAUUGUUGUUGUUGUUGUUGUUAUAAAUAAUGACAAUAAUCAACUAAGGUCAAUUUAAUAACUUGUAACAAUCCAUUAUGAUUCCAAGAUAAAGUAAACACAUUAAUGGCAAUACAGUUUAUUCUGAUUCCGAUUUCCAGAUCUAAAUUAAAUAAUUUAUUCUUAUUUUCAUUUCAGUCCAUUCCGAUUAUUAAUUAGUAAAAACACCAUAAAUUCUUACCAAUUCUAAUUUCCAAGCUAAAUAUAAGAAUGAACGGUGAUAGGAACACAAUUAUUGAUAAAAGAUCUUGAGCUUCUUAUUUAAGGAACAACAAUCCUUAAUCCUAACGUGUAUCUUCCCUUUGCUCUGGCUUUAGAUGUUAGCUGAAAAAAAUUAAAAAUCUAUGAAUUGGCAAUUUGCCCCACACCAGUCACCUGUUCAGGUGCUGUUCGAAGAACAACACAACAUAAUUUGUUCACAAAAUAUUUUACUUCUAAGAAUGCCAUAAGAAGAAUUGUCCAUAUUGUACAAAUAUACUAAAAUUGCUCAGUUAUUCCUUUCAUAAAUAUCAAAUAUGAAAUACUUUCCACAUACAUAUAGUGCAUACAAAUUCAAACAACUAUCAAUGUUAUAAAUUUGUAACUUCCUAUAAAUCCCAGAGGUUUAUUCAACAUAUUUAUUUUCAUUCAUUACAACAUAAAAGAAAACAUACAAGAAAUGAACAGGCUCAAGCUCAACGACCAACUUCAAAGCUUGAAUUUGUAAUGAAAGGUUCGCCAUAGCUGACAGAUGGUGUAGGCACAUGAUAACUUGGAACAUGCAUUUUUGAUGGAAGAUUUGGCAUUGUUGUUUCAAAAUUAAGGACUUGAAUAGCAUGCCUUAUGGAAGGCCUGAAACAACGGUCAGGGUGAGCACACCAUAAUCCAACAAUCAACAAACAUGUCAUUUGUUGCUCAUCAAAUCUCGAAUCCAGUCUCUCAUUAGCAGCUGAAAGUAGCUUUCUUUCUCCAUAAAAAUCCCAGACCCAAGCCACCAGUUUUGGACAGUAGUUCUUACUGCUUCCCCCAAGCACAGCCUUCUCGCCUUCGACUCCCAGUUUCUCAACUGAUCCAGUAUUGGAGCAGGGAUGAGGAACCACAAACUGAGUUCGAAGUUUCUGUGCUUUGUAACGAUUAAUCACUUUUCUUCCAGUAGCAAUUUCUAAGGCAACUACUCUAAAGCUGAACACAUCUAACUCUUUACUAACCCUGCCUGUGCUAAUGUAUUCAGAGGCCAUGUAGGCUAAAGUUCCUACCAGCAUAAUAGUCUUAGGACCAAGCUCAUGGUCCAUCAGCCUGGCUAAUCCAAAGUCGCCUAAUUUGGCAUUAAAAUUAAAAUCUAAUGUUUGGGGAAUAAAAUAGGGUGAUCAUGAUCUCCUCGAGGUAAAGAGUAAGUAAAUAGUUGAUAGACUAUUAGGAGAAAAUUGUGGUGACCUCGAGCAGGCCACCUCAACCAUAUGGUAAUUUUGAUAACCUCGAAUAGGCCACCUCAACUAGGUGGUAAUUCUUGAGACCAUGAGCAUACCACCUCGACCAGGAGGUAAUUCUGGUGACCUCGAGUAAGCCACCUCGACCAUGAUGUAAUUCUAGUGACCUCGAGUGGAUAGGAAGAGACAUUAGACCAAGUCACUAGGAAGCAAGACUCAGUCAAAAUAAUUGCUACAAAUCUCCUCCAAAAAAUCAUAGCACGAAUUUAAUUCAUUAAUGGUUAUUUAUUGCUGACAUGACUCAAAAGUGUUAUUACUCCCAAGUAUAAGAGUUUCUAAUUAUAAUAUAACCCGAUGAGUCUGGGGUCGAACCACAUAAAAUUUAAAAUCUAGUAGCCAAUUUGUUAAAUAAAGAAAAUUAAUUGCGGGAAAAGAAAUCACUAUGAAUUAAUUUAAAAAUAUGCUAAGGUUACGGGAUCCACUCUCAGUAUUCAAACUAUAAUUUUACUACUCUCUCAUUUUUUUAUAUUUUGCCUCACUUUUACCAGUUAAUUAUUAUAUCAUUUAAUUUUUAAUUAACUAUGUGUGUGGAUAAAUAUGAAAUCAAGUACUUAAUGUGCCACAACUAUAUUAAUAUGUUGCCAUUAUGUUAAAAUACAAUACAGAUUCAAUAAAAUUUAUAAAUUAACAUGACAUAAAAAUAAUCAUUAAAAAAAUAAAAUAAACUUAAAACUCACUUGAGAAAGCAAUUAAUUUAAUAAUUUGAAACCUUGAGUUUCAUCCUUCACCUUAACUUAGUAAAAUUAUCCACUCGUAUUGAAAGAAAAUAAAACACUAUUUUUAUUUAACCGACUUUUAAAAUAUAUUAUAAGGAAGUUGAUUACACAACAAAAAAAGAAAAAGAAACAAUUCACAUGGCCACUUGACCAUCACGAGCAACCAAAGCAUGGUUGCUUACCUUUUAUUCUUUUUUUAUUUUUUUUGAAAUAUUUUUUUUAUUAAUUACAUCUCCUCAAUAAUACAUUUCAAAAUACUCCAGUAAUUUUUCUUUGUUCUCGCUUCCAGUUCCAACUCCUCCUUAUUCUUGAAAUAUAUCUACAAUAAAAUUAAAAUAAAAUUAACAUAUUACAAAGUUACAAAUUAAUUUAACAUAAAUAUAUUUGGAGAGUAUUAAAAUAAUUUAAGAAUAAUGAGCGCAUUAAUCUACACAAUAAGUGAAAAAUUGAUAAUUUUAUCUUCAUUGAAUGUACACUUUUUAAUGUCAAUCAAUUGCCAUGAUCUAAGGUCGUGGGGAUGGGGUGUUUAUAAAAACUCCAAGAAAAUCAUGUCAGGAGAGGUGGAACUUUCUUUCUCUGUUUUGAUUUUACUAUUCCAUUUACUUAAGAUUAUUUAUUCAUAAAAACUAGAAAUUACAUAUUUUGUUUUUCCUAUAAACCCGAUAACUGACUUGGGCGUUGGAGGGUUCACACCGGAAAAUUUUUUGGUGCCUCUUACUGGUAUUUGUGAUUUCAGGUGUUUGCGAGUUAUCUGCUAGUGAUCGUAAACUGCUUCCCCAACAAAUAAAUUUAAUGAUAACACAAAGAUUUAUUAUCCAGUUAGUAACUGACUAGUCCAAAUUUCGACGUCAACAUUUAACAUUAGUUUGCUCGAUUUGGUAUCCCUGUGCACAAUGCAUUGCUCCUAUUCUUCAUGAAGAUAGAGCAAAGCCGUGGCCAAACCGAGAGAAAUCAUGUACCUUACAGCCCAAGCAAGAGGACUCUUCUUGCCAAACAGGCGAGCAUCAAGGCUACCGUUUGGCAUGAACUCGUACACAAGCAAGAAUUCGCCUCUGUCAUGGCAGCAGCCUAGGAGUUGCACCGGAUUACGAUGCCUCAACUGGCUAAUUGUCUUCACCUUGGUUACAUAGUCCUUUUUCUCUUAUUUAGAUCCUCUUGAAACCUUCUUGACAGCAACAGCCAUAUCCAAAUCAAUAAGAUAACCCUUGUAAACAGAACCAAACCCUCCUUAGCCCAACAUUUUGUUCUUGGGAAAGUUGCUGGUUGCAGAAGCAAGAUCUCUAUAAAAAAAUCUUCUUGGUCCUGCUCCUCUUUCAAGGUCCUCAUUUAUCGAAGUUAAGGUUUCUCUUUCUGCAGCAGAUUUCUUUCCUUCUUCUGCCUCUGCAAAAUCAACAGUCCCGUUAUCGCUGCAGCUAUCGGACCACCAAUUGGUACUGUAAAAGCAACUAUUAUUCUGAUCUUUUUACCAUCAGUUCCAUUUGUACUUUUAAUAUCCAAGCUUGAGCUGAACUACUAUUCAAGUAUAUGUCGCUCUCCAAACUGGCCUGUAGCAGCUGAGAAGCCAAUUGUCACCCACUGUGUUAGAACUUUCAUCAGAUUAAUUAUGUAAAACAAACUAGUAUCCUCCCGAGGAUCAGGGGUCAGUCGUUAGGUCCAAGACACACUCAAAUUCUUAGUAGUAGAAUUGUAAGCAAUCUGCACAUCAGCAGUAUCUUGUCUGUGGAAGCUGACGUUCCAGUGGGUGGAGACAGCUGAAGAAAUUGAGUUAUUGUUGAUUCCGACAUGGUCCUUAACAUCAAGGGGAUCCCACUCAGGGUUUUGAGUUGGAAUCAAACUCCUCCGAGACGAUAUGAUUUGUAGAAGAGAAAGAAGCUGUGGUGUUAAACAGCCCUAAGAAGCCACCAGCUGAAUUCGAAGGAAUCUGAAAUCCAACAGGAGCUAAGAAAAAUACGAGCCCGUGGCCGUAAGUGGGACGACCCACCCAGGGUGUCUAUUUGGAAGGAGAAUUUGGUGCUGAAGUCAGUUAGCUUACCUGUGUCAGAGUCCCAGAGCGACACUCUCUCAGCAUAAGUAGCCCAACCCACACGACAUAGAUAUUCGUUGUUUUUGGUUAAUUCAAUGGCUCCAACUGAAGAUAUUGCAUCUCCCUGAUAUAGUAUUUUUUCUUCUUUUUUUUCACCAGGGUCAAAACUAGGCAUACGGAAGGAAACUUGUGAACUGGGCGAGGGCAGAAGAACAAUAAAGAAAAUGAAGAAAGGUAAAUUGACCAAGGCAAAAGGGUGAAACAACAUGAAGCAGAGGUACAACGUGUCCGUGGAGCUUAAUUAACCUUUGUAAUAGUGCAGCUAUAAAGCUAAUUGAAAGACAAUUAAUAAUUAUCGAUUGUAUCUCCGAGAAGCUGCAUCAAAAGGUAAUAUUAGCUGUGGAAUUAUAUAAAAAUAAAUAGGUUGUUUAGAAGUCUUUUCUCAAGGAAACCAUGGCAACUUUCAUUAUCAAAGCUUGGACAGUAGCUUACGUUUCAGUAAGCUAAAUGCUUACCAAUUCCAAGCAAAAACAGAACAAACAAUAGUCAAUCCAUCGUCAAGACGAAAUUGUUGGAAACAGUACAAUUAUUGCCCUACCUUUUACUAGAAAAAAGAAAUCUAGCGUCGUAUUAGAUAUAUGUUUUAAGGAUCAACAAUUCCCCGUGAUAUGUAUAUUAUAUACGAUGCAGGUCUUAUUUUGUUUUGAUUUUCGAUGGUAGCUUUGGAAAAUAUAAGUGCCAAUGGGGUGACCAAAAAUAAAAUACUCAGUCUGGGACUCUGGGUCUGGCCAGGCUUUAGUAGGGCCUGAUGAUUAGACGCUAAGAUUUUAAAUGUCUUAACAUGAAUUAGAAUUUAUGGUAAACCAAUUUAAUAGAACUUAUUCUAAUUGUUUUCAUUAAAAAAAAUUUUAUUUUCAAUUGAUGAGUAAAUUUUUUCUUUGCUCAAAUAAAUUAAAUAAAUAAACUAUUUUAUUAAAAUUAAAGUUUAAUAUUGAUUUAUAAGUUUAUUUCAUUUUUACAAGAGUUUAUUUUAUUUGUAAUUUUAAAACACUAAUUUACCAUUCUUAUAUUAAUUUAUUAAUUUUAAUUUUAAUUUACUAUUCUUAUAUGGAAUUUAAAAAAUUUAUUUUAAUCACAAUAUUAAUACCGUAAUUUUAAUGACGCAAUCAUAAAUUUUUUCAUAUUUCUUCCAUACUUUAAAUAGAAAACUAAGUAAAAAUGAUGGGACUUCAAGCAUUAUUUGGGAUUAAAUCUAAUAUUUUUGUUUAGCUGAUGUCAGGAUUGCUGCUUUCUCCGUUUUUAUCUACAUUUUCUAUAUUCUUUAAAUUUUCAAAGUGAGCGAAUGGCAUAUAAAGUCAUCUCAGAAAUGUGUUCAACUUGUUCCCUUCAAGUAAUGAGUUUACAUUAUUAUUGUUAUUAUUACUCUUCCCAUAAAAUUUUAGUCAAAAAAUGUUUUCUUUUUAAUUUGCACACAAAUCCUAAAAUAUUAAAUUUAUCUUAAAACUUUUUUCUUAUUAUAUAAUUUCUAUCUUUAUAAUUCUAAACUCUUAUAAUUGUCUAAGAAAGAAAAUUCUUCAGUUAAAUUUUAAAAUAUAAUUAUAAAUUAUGAAAUGAGGUGGGUAUAAGAAGUUUGUGUAAAGAAUAAUUUAUUUAAGUUUUUAGUUGAAUUUCCAUUCCAAAUAAGAAAUGAUUUAGUAUGUGUUAGGUUAUUUAAGUAAUUUCAAUUAAAAAAAUGUGUUUUAAGAGGGAUUUGAGAGUUGUCAAAAGGCAUAGAAUUUUAAACUAUACGUCAAAUAAAGAAAUAUACGUCAAAUAAAGUACUUAAACUAUCUUUUUAAGAAAUUGAAAGGGUGAUAAGAGCCACCCACCCAAUAAAAUAAUAGCUCCCCAGAGUAAUAUUUCGUAUUAAAAAUAAUGAUUGUCUAAUUGAAAGGAGCUGUACAUUAUGGGCCCAGUUUUAUGGCCAACAGGUAAUUGUAAACCCACAAAUAUAGUGGUCGAAGCCCAGUUUCUUGUUUGGCAACAAAAGGAAAAUUGAUUCUUGUCAAUAUUAUUGGUUGAUGAGUGUAAGCCAGUUUCGAAUCGAAUUGUUGUAUCUUUCAAUCCGAAAUGGAAAUAUGGAAUCAGUACAUUAGUAGAAUUAAUUAAACAUCACCCUAGCACAAACCCUCAGUCCACAUUUUGCUUAACAAACAAACAAUAUGCCCUAGUGCUUUUAAAAUUAACCUGAAACACAAGAAUUUGGUCCAUAUGUUAGGUGCUCCUUGCAAGUUGGCAAAUCUCGAAGCCCAACGAAGAUAAAUGAGUGAUUUUAUCCAGGCCGUGUGUGUAAUUCCAGGCCCAUAUCAGUUGAGACUUUUCGUGAAUAAUAAGACAUGGAUCUAAAAUUCACGCCCAGAAGACAGACUUUGAGUGAAAAUAAAAUGUCUGAGAAAGUGACACAAUGCAGGAGUUUGAGACUCUGUGUUUGGUGGUAGAAGAACCGUUCAAAUCAAAGUUUAUGUGGUCACAUUUGCCUCACAAGAACAAGAUAGGAUAUCCCACAUUCACUUUGUGGCUAAGAAACGGUGGAAUUUGGAUAGGGAUUUCACGGCUGGUUUUUAUAGGCCUUUUAUCAAUUUAGUUUUUUCAAUCCGACCUUAGCUUUUCGAAUUUUAGUUUCAGUAUUUUCAAUCAACAUUGUAAUCUUUAUUGCCUAGCAUUUUCCUAAUAAAUAAAGAAUUGAUGCAUCGGACACCCAUUCAUGUACACACAAUGAUGAUAAAUUUAGAACCAAUCUUAAUCAUCGCAAACCACACACAUUUACGUAUUUAUUUUUGUCAUUUUCGAUAAUCGAGAACCUAAAAUUAAGGAAUUUAUGAACUAGAAAUUAUAGAAUAUCGAAAGAACAAUUUUAUCGCCUUUACUUGAUGUUUAGCUCAAAAUUUAUAAAGAAUUUACUCGUUAUUGACUGGUCAUUUAUUUUUGGAUAAAAUUAAAAUUAUAAAUUUAUUCAGAUAUAACUCGAUUGAUUGAAUUAAGUAUCUCUAAAUUUAUAUGAUUUGUUUUUAUUACUCUUUAUUUUUGUUAUAGAUUGGUGAUUUACAACAAUUGAGAAUUAUAUAAUCCUUAAUUUAUAGUUGAUAAAUUUGGUGAGUCCGUUGUAGGUGAGUGAGAGCAAAGGAAGAAGAAUUUACUUCUGUUUGAAGGCAAAUUUUAGUGGGAAAAAAAUAGAGGCAGAGACAUGGAACGAACGACAACCCAGUUCACAACGGAAACGACAAAGCCAUAAUUUUCAAACAGAAAAUUUUACUCCAACCACCGAAAAAAAAAAGGAAAAAAGAAAAAAACUCACCCUCAUAGCCAUAACCAUAAUCAUACAACAAACAAAGAAGAAACAGAACACCAUCUUGCAGCGGGAGAGUGAGAAGCAAAACUGGCCAUGGCUCUGGCUCUUCGCAGGCUCUCAUCUUCCCUCGACAAACCCACUCGUCCUCUCUUCAAUGGCUCCUCCCUCUACUACAUGGUCUGUCUGUUUUGCCUCUUUCAUUUUUAUACCAUUUUCUUUGGACUUUCAAAUGGUUCAUUCUGUUCUGUUUGCUCUUUUUGUAAUUUUCUUUUCUUUUUGCAUUCCUUUUCUUUUCGCAGUCAUCUUUGCCAAAUGAAGCUGUUUACGAGAAAGAGAAAAAUGGUGUCACUGUAAGUUGAUAAAUUUUUCUCUAGCUUCCUUCAUACGUUUCCAUUCUGUACCGUACUGGUUUUUUUUUAAUUUAAUUUGUUAAUUUUUCAUGUGGAUAUGGCAGUGGCCAAAACAACUGAAUGCUCCACUUGAGGUCGUUGAUCCUGAGAUUGCUGACAUUAUCGAGCAUGAAAAAGCACGACAAUGGAAGGUAACCUUAUAUCAUUUGUGAGUUUAUUUAUUUUUUUCUUUUGUCCUUCUUAAAGAAAAUUUCAAAUGAACAUCCAUUUAUUCAUUAACUUUGUCUUAACAGUACCUUUUGUUCAUUUUAAUUCACCCCUCUUGCUUUUGGCUGAAAUAAAAUUUUGCCUGUAUCUGGAUUACUAUUUCUCCAAUAUAUGAAAAUUUCAGGUUUCUUUUGGGAUGGAUUUCUUUUUUUUAGAAAAAAUAAUUCUGAAUUAUCUGAAAUAGUUUAUCUAUAUUCAAUUUAUUUUUUACUUUAUAGUUUCUGUCUUGCUGUUAAGCUCCAACUACAUUAAAAAUUUGGAUAGCUUACUGGAAUAAAUUUUGUGUGAUUUUGAAGGGACUUGAACUCAUUCCUUCAGAGAACUUUACUUCAGUAUCCGUGAUGCAAGCUGUGGGGUCUGUCAUGACCAACAAGAACAGUGAAGGAUAUCCAGGUGCAAGAUAUUAUGGAGGAAACGAGUAUGUUGAGCUAAUUAGUUCAAUCUGUGAUGUUUAUAAUAAGCUGAUAUAAGUGACUGGAAAAUUAUGAAGUUGAUUCCUUCAUAUCUACUUCUUUAACUUCGUGACUAAAUUAGCUGUUGAAAAUGGACCUGUCAUUUCUCAGGUAUAUUGACAUGGCGGAAUCCUUAUGUCAGAAGCGAGCUCUGGAAGCAUUUCGGUUGGAUCCUGAAAAAUGGGGAGGUGCAAACUUGUCAUUUGAAAUUCUCGGAAAAAUACUUGUUGUUUUUCUAAUGCUGCAGUAAUUUUCUGAAAGUAUGUCAGUACGAAAAUUCUAUAGGUAUUGAUGUUUAUAAUGCCCAUAUGCAACUUAUCAGUCAAUUAUGAAUCUUUAAAGGAUUGGUACUAACCAAAAUGUUCAUUAUCAAAGGCAAUUUUAAGAGCAUUCUUUGGUGUCAAGGAGACAGCUAAGCGACUUCAUAAUUGAAAAGAAAAGUUUGUGGGAGGAGUUAUGUUACAUGUGAUGACUUAAUGCUUUCUCAUGUUCAUUAUGCCCUGUUAUGCUGCAGUGAAUGUGCAGUCUCUGUCUGGAUCUCCAUCUAAUUUUCAAGUCUACACUGCAUUGUUAAAACCUCAUGAUAGGAUCAUGGCACUUGAUCUUCCUCAUGGUGGGCAUCUCUCACACGGCUAUCAGGUACUCGUAAUUUCUAGAGAUUUUUUAUUUUAUUUUAUCUAAUAGGUAUGUUGACCUGUCCUGCUCUCCUAGACCUUUCAGGUUAAAGGCCCUAUAAUAGGAUUUAAGCUAUAAAUGACCAAUAUCAAGAUCUAUGAAAUCCCAUUUUUAUCAUACCUAACAUUCACUAUCCACAGAUUCUUUAUCCUUAGAGAUUUUAAAGCUACAGGAGCUGUAGUAUUAUAUAACCAAUGAACCUGAUCUCAUCAUUUCUCAUAUUAAAAUGGACUUAGUCUGCAACUUUUCAUCAAUUACGGAGAAAUUUAUUAGUCUAUGUUCUAUUUUCUGGUCAUGUUAUAUGACUGAAUGUAACAUCAAAUAAUUAAUACUGUUAUUUUUAUUUUGCAGACAGAUACCAAAAAGAUAUCUGCAGUGUCCAUAUUUUUUGAGACAAUGCCAUACAGAUUGAAUGAGAGCACUGGCUAUAUAGACUAUGACCAGGUAUUGAAAUUUUAAUAUUUUUGGUACCCUUUUAGGUCCACUAAAUUCCCUAUGAUUACACAAUUUCAUACCAUGGCAGUUGAAGUGAAUGGAAAAGUUGCGUCAUCAAAGUUGGAAUUCAGGCUGUGUAGAACAGACUAAUUACUGAUACGCUUUAAGUGGAAAAUCUUGAAAAUUUAUGGCAGUAAUUCUAUAUUAGUGAGGCUGUUUCUUUUUCUCUCAUGCGAAUUGCAAGAUAUCUGAUUUUCGUAUACAAAGCUGAAGAUUUAACAUGUGCUCUCCAUCAAAUAUAUGGACGUACAGCUAUAAAAUCUUCAAUUUCAUUAACAAUUGAUUUUAGUCCUCCAUGGUUAGCAGGAAAUUGUCAAGAUAAGCAUGCAUCCGAGUUAUCCAUUCAUGUUUUUUCUAUCACCAAAUUUGAUAUUUUGGGUCAUUAUAUACAAGUCUGGACAGAUGGGGAAGGUUGACGAACUUCAAUAAGCCAUGCAUAGAAAUGAGUUUUCAGUUUCAGAUGGUAUUGAUUGGUUGUAUAUACCUUUCAAUAUAUCUGUAAGUAAAAUGUGUUGUGACUUAAAUCAUUGUAUUGCAGUUGGAGAAAAGUGCCACCCUCUUCAGGCCAAAAUUGAUUGUUGCUGGUGCUAGUGCUUAUGCACGAUUGUAUGAUUAUGAGCGUAUUCGCAAGGUAAUCUCCAUUAGGUUGAUCCAGUCUAAUCCAAUUAUGAUAGUCCUACAUCAAAUUUUAAGGUUUUGGCCUGUCUUGAUGGUUUAGAAGGUCUGAGGUUUCAUAUUCUAAAGUGUUUUAACAGGUUUGCAACAAACAAAAAGCUAUAAUGUUGGCAGAUAUGGCACACAUUAGUGGUUUGGUUGCUGCUGGUGUCAUCCCUUCACCUUUUGAGUAUGCAGAUGUUGUGACCACCACAACUCACAAAUCACUUCGUGGGCCACGUGGAGCCAUGAUUUUCUUUAGGAAGGGAGUGAAAGAGAUUAACAAACAAGGGAAGGAGGUGAGUUGUUAAAAUGAAAUAAUAGUUUUGAGUAUAUAGUAUAAUUCUUUCUUGAAGGGACACUAUGUUGGUUUAAUUGAAGCAAAUCUUUAUGCCUACGAGUUUACCUGCAGGUGUUUUAUGAUUAUGAAGAAAAAAUAAAUCAAGCUGUCUUUCCUGGACUCCAAGGUGGCCCACACAACCACACAAUUACUGGUUUAGCAGUUGCCUUGAAACAGGUAUGCACAUUGAUAACAUUUAGUCAUAUUCAUGUUUUUUCUCUGCAUGUGUAUCCUGCUUUUGUCUCAAACCAGAACAACUCUGAAUACAUUGAGGAAGAAAAGGGAAGGCCAUGUGUCAGAUAAUUGAAUGGCAGGAACAGUCUGUACCAUUACCCUAUAUGCGUUAGUUAGGUUGUCAUGUUCAAUUGAGUGCCUUGGCCACCAUUCCACCUUCCAAGCUACAACUGUCAUACUGCAGACACUAAAAUGGUCUUCAAGUAGCCCAAGAAGUGCUUUGUUUCCUUUAUUAUGGAUCGGUGUAUUUGUAUACUAACUAAUACAGGAUCAGUUUUGUAUAGUGGGAUACUUCUAAAGUACGAGAAACAUUAGGUAACAACAUAUAAUAUUAUGUGAGUUACUGGCUCAUAUAAAGCACGAACAAUAAACAGAUCCUUGGCAGUUUUGAUAUUUGUCCAAUGUGGAUACUUGUUUAUUGACCAGCAUUAAGGGGCAUCUCCUGAAUUAUCAUGCAUUUCCUUUAUUCUUCUUAACCUUUUUGGCCAAAUGACCAAUUUUCAAUACCAUUUAAACUUUCAGUUUAUAAUUUUUAACUUGGCAUGGAUGCAGGCCACUACUCCAGAGUAUAAAGCCUAUCAAGAGCAAGUUCUGAGCAAUUGCUCAAAAUUUGCACAGGUAUGCUUCAUGACAUAUAGCAAAAUUGUUGGCAAAACAAGAUCUUGUUAACAAAGCUUUGUCUUUAUUGCAUAUUUGAGCAACAUUCUCUCAUCAAUGUGAGGGCGCAACUUGCUAUCUUUCUGGGUUUUAACUGCCCAAAAUGUCUAUUUAACAGACUCUGCUCGAGAUGGGCUAUGAACUUGUUUCUGGUGGAACUGAGAACCAUCUAGUGUUGGUGAAUUUGAAAAACAAGGUAUCAGAUUUAUCUUUUUUAUCCUUUUAUUGUGUUAGUUCUGGAUGAUGUCCAAUUACUAAUGUACUGUGAGUGUUAAUUUAAGACAUCUUAUUUUGUUACUAGAAUAAAUUGGAGAGUUUGGCUCCAUGUACUGCUUUUAUUACUAGUUUUACCAUGAAAAGUUGGAUGAUCUUACUUUUUGCCAAAAUGUUCCAUCAACAGGGAAUUGAUGGUUCCAGAGUUGAAAAAGUGUUGGAAGCUGUUCAUAUUGCAGCCAACAAAAACACUGUUCCUGGGGAUGUGUCGGCCAUGGUUCCAGGUGGCAUCAGGAUGGGUAGGGACUCUGAUUACAUAUUCUUAUUACAUAUUUACAUCAUACUUAUACGAUCACUGUAUGAGCAUUGUUUCUUGAUGGAUUGAAUUGCAUUUCAGGAACUCCGGCUCUUACUUCUAGGGGAUUUGUUGAGGAGGAUUUUGCCAAGGUAGCAUAUUUCUUUGAUGCUGCUGUGAAGUUGACUGUGAAGAUCAAGUCUGAAACUCAAGGUUCUUGCCAAUAUUUUUUAUCUUAACUUUCGUUCUCUUAGGGUUUGUGUGUGUUUGAUCUUCACUCAUGCUGCAAUGCUUGUGCUGUUUAGUGAGCCAGGUGGUUGAAUCUACUAACAUGCAGUUGGGUGCUGUUAAUUUUGUAAACCAGGAACAAAGUUGAAAGAUUUCGUGGCCACAACACAGUCCGCUAACUUCCAAUCCGAGAUUGCGAAACUUCGCCAUGAUGUUGAGGAGUAUGCAAAGCAAUUCCCCACAAUUGGGUUUGAAAAGGAAACCAUGAAGUACAAGAACUGAGAGAAAAACGCCACUGUACUAGGUAUACAUAUUUACUUCAGUAUCAUUAGAGCAGCUUGGGAGGCCUAGUUCUCUAUAGCUAGGAUUAUCUUCCCUUGUGGUUUCUCAAUUUUUUUUUUUUUAACCUCUUUUUACAUUGGACUCUCCUACAUCAACAGGUAUUUGACAGCUUACUGAUCUGCCAGUGAAUUUCUAUAACUGCAUGUCACAUUCCCUUUUGUUAUUCUUAAAUUUCAGCUACUUAUUGGUUCCUUGUUUUUGUUUUUGCUGAUUGAACAUAAAUGUGUUGAGCAGAGUAGCGGAAGCCAGCCUGUAUGAGCUUUUAUUACACAGAGGCGACGAGGGAUGAAAUGUAACUUACGAUGAUGAGCCAUGUAUCAACUAUCGACCCUGUGAUUUGGCGCUUUUAUGAAUACAAUAUACAGCAAACCUUGAUUUAGAUCACAAUUAAUGUAUAUAAAGUACUCUGUAUUUACUGAGGCUUUCAGGAAGCAAAUAAACCUGCAAUAAAACUAGAAGCGAUAUCUUUUUUCACCUCAUGGUUUCUUAGCACAGUGAAUAUAAAUAAAAGCCUCGGGAUCAAGUAAUAUG
rnacentral:lncRNA from 1 species